GAUUUUUUUUGGAGUUUUCACAACAGAAACUGCAACUGUCCACCUUGCUCCAGCUACGUGCCCCCCUCCUCCAAUUGUUCUCCAUCUCCUUUCCUGGACUUCUGAGGACUCAUGAUCAGCCGCAUGGGUGAAGUGUGGUCUGCACAUCCCUUCAUGCACUUAAUCAGAUGACAGGCACUUAGUGAGCACUGACUGUAUACUGGGCCCUGAGUUUUGUGUCUGUGGAAACAAUAAUUAAAACAUGGUCCUAACUCUCAGAGAGCUCAUGGAUGAGACUGCACAGGAAGUGAUGUAGUCGUGGCAACUUCAGGCUCUGUGGGAGACCGAAAUGGGGCAGGGAACCAGCCUGGGAAGAUUCCAGGAGCAAGGCUGCCUUCCUCAGGUUUGUGUGUCCUAGAAACACUCUGUUUAUGAGGUGGGAUUCAGAGCCAUGAGCAAAGUCUAUAAUCAGACCAAAAGGCUUUGGAAGCUGAGCAUGUUCCUGGGAGAGAAGAGUUAUAUGUGGGCUCUGGAGAGGAAGGAAAGUUCUGCAGACAUUAUAGAAAACAUUAGGAGUAUAGGUUUUGGGGCUUGAAAACACAAUUCUUACAUCUUUACAGUGGGUACUUGUUGGAAUUCUUUAAAAAUUAGUCUUAGGGAAUAAGGAUUAAGUCGGGGGGAAAGUCCAUUAACUAAAAUUCCUUAUAACACAUCAGGAAAAAAAAAUUGUGUGUGUGCGCGCGCGCGCGCACACUGUAGGUGUUUUUACCAUCUUUCUGAGAAGGUUUACAGUUUCCCAACAAGCUUCCAUCAUCAUAAAACACACGCUUGUAUAGACAAGUUGAGGAAAAAGCCUGAUUGACAUUAAUCUCCAAUGUAUAGCUGGGAAGGUCUUUUUGUUUGGUUUGUCUUUGAAGUGAAGAUCAGAGGUGAUUCUUUGUCACCCACAAAACUUUGAUGUUUGCCUGCAUACCCGCUCACAGCCAGGAUGUAAACCCCAGUGUAUACCUGUAAAUCUACAAUCAGUUUAUAAUUAGGUGGGAAAUUUGUUAAGACCAUAAUUUGUUACUGCUCAGUUGUAACUUUGAAAUGUUCCUGGGCAUCCUGGAUAGAAAGCUCCCUCGAGAACAGAAGCAUUAACAUCCAUUAACAAAGGCAACUUAAAAAACAAACAAACAAACAAACAAAACACAGUUUAACUUCGAACAAAUGCUUCAAAGUGGCAGAGUAAGGAUUUGCUCUAGCACAGUUGGAGGUAGGGAGUCAGGAGGUGAGUCUUAUGGCUGGGCAUGCUGGACCAAGCCUGGGGUUUUGGAAGAGGACAAGUUCAGCUUUGAAUCCAGCUUCUGCCACUUAUUAGAGGUAUACCCUUAAGCAAAUUACAUCCUCCCCAGGGUCUUUAAGAAUAAAAUUAAGAUAAUAAUUUUAUUAUUUUUAAAAAAUAUUUUUUAGUUGUUAAUGAGCCUUUAUUUUUAUUUAUAUGCAGUGCUGGGGAUCAAACCCAGUGCCUCACACAUGCUAGGCAAGUGCUCUACUACUGAGCCACCACCCCAGCCCAAGAUAAUAAUAUUAUUAUUAUUAAGAUAAAGUGCUAUUACACAUUUGAGGUGCCUAAUUAUAAGUAGAUGGCUAAAGUGGUAGAUGUGGGAUUUUGAGCACAAUACUCAUUCCAUAAAUUUUUUUAUUCUUAAUGUGCCAUGAGUUUUAAGUGUGUAAAAAUGUCCCAAAUGCCUUACCUUACCCAGCUCUUCCUGAUAUGAUUUUGGCUUGUGUCCUUCCUGAUUUCCAUAGAAAGCCAAAGAUACCAGAAUACGACUCACCAAAGGACAUGGAUGAGGCCUGGUAGAGAACACAAGGACCAAACCUCAAAGUUCCAUACAGCCCUAUAAUAAUUCCUAUGUUAUAUUGACAAAUGCACAAAUGAUUUGUGGUUUUUAUUAGCUCUCUCUUACAAAUACUAUCCUCUCCUGAAUUAAGCCUGACAUAUACAGAAGGAGUGAAAGUAGAAUGGUUCUCCAAUAUAAAAAAAGAAAAGAAAAGAAAAGAAAAGUCCUACUGUGCCAUGAAGCUUUAAGAGAAAAGAAGAAGGGGGGAUUGAUGAAGGAGGAAAACCACUGCCCAACAAGCAAACACACACACACACACACACCCAUCCAUCUAACCAUCCAUCCAUCCAUCCACACACCCACCCACCCAUCUGUCCACUUGUCCACUACCAGAUGCAGGGAGGAUACAGUGAUACCUCAGCUCACUGACGAUCCUUGAGGUGACUGAUUUGCUAGUUAGAUUGCCUUCAUAUCUGAUGAGCAAAAGAACAGCAUUUCAUCCCAAACAUAUGCUCAUUUUAGAAAAUUUGGAAAAAAUAUAAAUAAGUGAAGAAAAGCAUAAUGAUCUUCAAUCUAUUUCCUUGAGAUUAUUACCAUGAACAUUUUGAUGUAUCUCCUUGGGGUCUUGUAUGUAUGUGUGUGUGUGUGUUUGUGUGUGUGUCUAACAGUGAAAUCAUGCAAUACUUAUUUUUUCUGGUUUUAUUCUUCACUCAAUAUUAUAUCAUAGGCAGUUGUAUAUGCAUUAAAAGGUUUAAAAUAUAAUUUUCUGUGGUUGCAUGAUAUUCCAUUCUAUGGAUCUAUAAAAUUAAUUUCUCCUAAACACUUACACUGCUUUCCUCUUAUGUUUUGUUAUUGUAAUGAAUACUACAAUGACGUCUUUAAACUUAAACCAAAAAUUGUUC
rnacentral:lncRNA from 1 species